GGGGAUUUAGCUCAGUGGUAGAGCGCUUGCCUAGGAAGCGCAAGGCCCUGGGUUCGAUUCCCAGCUCUG
rnacentral:tRNA from 1 species